CGGGGAAUCUUGCGCAAUGGGCGAAAGCCUGACGCAGUAACGCCGCGUGGGGGAUGAAUGCCUUCGGGUUGUAAACCCCUUUCAGCAGGGACGAAAUUGACGGUACCUGCAGAAGAAGCCCCGGCCAACUACGUGCCAGCAGCCGCGGUAAUACGUAGGGGGCGAGCGUUGUCCGGAUUUAUUGGGCGUAAAGAGCGCGUAGGUGGCUCGACAAGUCGGAUGUGAAAACUCCAGGCUCAACCUGGAGACGCCACUCGAUACUGUCGUGGCUAGAGUUCGGUAGGGGAUCACGGAAUUCCUGGUGUAGCGGUGAAAUGCGGAGAUAUCAGGAGGAACACCGAUGGCGAAGGCAGUGAUCUGGGCCGAUACUGACACUGAGGCGCGAAAGCGUGGGUAGCGAACAGG
rnacentral:rRNA from 1 species